rnacentral:ncRNA from 2 species
CAUCGCUUGACGGAGCGCGAGUAAUUACUCGCUGAGAUCAGCAAAAUUGAUUCUUUCAAUUUAAUGCUGAGUACCGUUGAACCUGAUCAGGUUAAGACCUGCGUAGGAAUCAAGCCAUCUAAAAAC